AGAGUUUGAUCCUGGCUCAGAUUGAACGCUGGCGGCAAGCCUAACACAUGCAAGUCGAGCGAGAAAAGCCUUCGGGCUGAGUACAGCGGCGGACGGGUGAGUAACGCGUAGGAAUCUACCUGGUAGUGGGGGACAACAUGGUGAAAACCAUGCUAAUACCGCAUACGCCCUAUGGGGGAAAGCGGGGGAUCUUCGGACCUCGCGCUAUCGGAUGAGCCUGCGUAAGAUUAGCUAGUUGGUGAGGUAAAGGCUCACCAAGGCGACGAUCUUUAGCUGGUCUGAGAGGAUGAUCAGCCACACUGGGACUGAGACACGGCCCAGACUCCUACGGGAGGCAGCAGUGGGGAAUAUUGCGCAAUGGGGGCAACCCUGACGCAGCCAUGCCGCGUGUGUGAAGAAGGCCUUAGGGUUGUAAAGCACUUUCAAUUGGGAAGAAAGGUUGUAGGUUAAUAACCUGCAGCUGUGACAUUACCUUUAGAAGAAGCACCGCUAACU
rnacentral:rRNA from 1 species